rnacentral:rRNA from 1 species
CGAGUGGCGAACGGGUGAGUAACACGUGGGUGAUCUGCCCUGCACUUCGGGAUAAGCCUGGGAAACUGGGUCUAAUACCGGAUAGGACCGCACUUUGGUGUGUGUGGUGGAAAGGUUUUUCUGGUGUGGGAUGAGCUCGCGGCCUAUCAGUUUGUUGGUGGGGUAAUGGCCUACCAAGACGGCGACGGGUAGCCGGCCUGAGAGGGUGGACGGUCACAUUGGGACUGAGAUACGGCCCAGACUCCUACGGGAGGCAGCAGUGGGGAAUAUUGCACAAUGGGGGAAACCCUGAUGCAGCGACGCCGCGUGGGGGAUGAAGGCCUUCGGGUUGUAAACUCCUUUCGCUAGGGACGAAGCUUUUUGUGACGGUACCUGGAGAAGAAGCACCGGCUAACUACGUGCCAGCAGCCGCGGUAAUACGUAGGGUGCGAGCGUUGUCCGGAAUUACUGGGCGUAAAGGGCUCGUAGGUGGUGUGUCGCGUCGUCUGUGAAAUUCCGGGGCUUAACUCCGGGCGUGCAGGCGAUACGGGCAUGCUUGAGUGCUGUAGGGGUAGCUGGAAUGCCUGGUGUAGCGGUGAAAUGCGCAGAUAUCAGGCAGAACGCCGAUGGCGA